rnacentral:rRNA from 1 species
GAUGAACGCUGGCGGCGUGCCUAAUACAUGCAAGUCGAGCGAACAGAUGAUGAGCUUGCUCCUCUGACGUUAGCGGCGGACGGGUGAGUAACACGUGGAUAACCUACCUAUAAGACUGGGAUAACUUCGGGAAACCGGAGCUAAUACCGGAUAAUAUAUUGAACGGCAUGGUUCAAUAGUGAAAGACGGUUUUGCUGUCACUUAUAGAUGGAUCCGCGCCGCAUUAGCUAGUUGGUAAGGUAACGGCUUACCAAGGCAACGAUGCGUAGCCGACCUGAGAGGGUGAUCGGCCACACUGGAACUGAGACACGGUCCAGACUCCUACGGGAGGCAGCAGUAGGGAAUCUUCCGCAAUGGGCGAAAGCCUGACGGAGCAACGCCGCGUGAGUGAUGAAGGUCUUCGGAUCGUAAAGCUCUGUUAUUAGGGAAGAACAAAUGUGUAAGUAACUAUGCACGUCUUGACGGUACCUAAACAGAAAGCCACGGCUAACUACGUG